rnacentral:lncRNA from 1 species
AGAUUAUUUUCAUCAUUCUUUUCACUAUAAUCGCUCCAAAAUAUCAUUGUUCGAAUUCCUUAAAUACUGCUUUCUUUGGUCAGCUGGCUAGACUUCUCAAUUUUUCAAUUGAGUUCUCUUUAUGGUGAGUGCUCCUGUGUAUAUAUCUUUUCUCUUUUUUGUUUUUCAUUAAAAUCUUAUUGAUCUUCUUUUUCACUUUGUUUCCUCUUUUUUUCUUCUUAAGGUGCAAUCACUUUUUUGUACUAUUGUGCAACUACCCCAAACUUAAAGGUUACUAUUACAUCAAUAACCUCAAACUUAAAAUGAAACAUAGAUUCAAAAAUAAAAGAUAAUAAUAUGAACAGGGUAGGGAAGUGUUUUAGGCUAUUAGUUCAUGAUAUGGUAAAUAGUAACAAAUAAAAAGGGAUAUACGUUCAACAUGGGUUAACAAAGGAUAUACUAAUAGACGAGAUGGCUAGAAAGGCUCAAGGGUGUAAAAAAAAUGUGCCUUAGUGUGUGUAAUAUGCACAGGCUAUCACAAAAGAGCAGACACAAGUUCUAGAUGAUAUAUACCUGAAUGGUGUCACAGGAUGAAAUUUGUGUUUGGCUUUUUCUGUUCUCACCAUGUUGAUAAGGGCCAACAAUUUCCAAAGUGCCUCGCAUGUGAUGCAACUUUUCAUACUUUCAACGUGACCUGACACCCCCUUUCAGUAAAAUGUCCGGAGAACCAUGUCAAAUCGUUUCAAAAAUACUGUCAUUGCUUGGUAUUAUCAUGAUUUGGGCAGACAAACUUUGUCUGGGUGUUCACAGUCUACCGCUCAUGCGAGUUAUCAUCACUUAAAUAACAUAAACAUAAAAUGAAUUAACUGAAAAUACCAAAAUUGUAAUAGACUCUGAGUUUUUGGCAACACAUAGAAAAAACAAAAAAUGAAAGUACAUCAGCUCAUCAAUCAUAAAGUAAAAAAAAACUAAAAAUAAAGAUAAAAAUAAAGAAAAAUAAAGCUAAUCUUCGUAUGCGUCCCUAUUUUUAUCCAUCAUCGGAGUGUCAUAGCUGAUCAUGGCAUUUGGGUCGCCAUGAUGCACAAAGGAUGAAAUUGGAGAGAAAAUAGAAAGGUGAUGGAGGGUCGCCUAAAAACCGGUCUCUGAAGCCCUGAUCCAUCAUCGGAGUGUCAUAGCUGAUCAUGGCAUUUGGGUCGCCAUGAUGCACAAAGGAUGAAAUUGGAGAGAAAAUAGAAAGGUGAUGGAGGGUCGCCUAAAAACCGGUCUCUGAAGCCCUGGGCAGCUCUCCUCGUUUCGACUUGAUGGGUGAGGUAUCGACCAAGCAAGCCAAUAUGUGUAUAAAAAUCUUGCGUAAAACAAAACAUAGACAUUCGAUAAAUGUGUUCUUGAGAGUCAUCAUAAGCAAGAUGAACUCUCUCAAGUACAUAUUUGGGCUGGGGCUCGUAUGUGUCGGAUCUAGUAGGCUCUGCUGGAUGUUCCUUAGUAGGUGCUUUCCUCCUAGGGUGCUCGGUUAUCGACCCACCAUCCAAUGGUCGUGUCGGGUUCACCAUGAAGCCAUCAGUGAAAUUCGGUACCCCGACUUUCCUGCAUAAAAGAAGGAUGACAAAAGCAUGUCCCAGAGACUUGUUUGUCUGACUUUGGGCCAUCUCAUCCAUGUCAGCAACAAUAAUACGACCGACGUUAACAACACGUCGGUUCAACAGAUAAUAUAAAGCUAAAGCUCACAUAGUGAUGAGUUAUGACCCACUAUGAUUAGUGUUCAGAGUGUUGUGCAAGAAGUAGGCCCACGCCUUCAAAAUAACAUUGAGAUCCACUAUAGCCAGCUUCCUAGGAAUCGGGGUAGAAGCAGGCUUCUGAUAUCUUUCCUCAAGUGCAAAGCAACCCAACACCACUGGGCAAGGCUAUCCAGUCCUAGAGGACGUCUUCAUCAUCUGAUACUCAUAGUUCGACUCUCAAAACUUCAUCUGUAAUAACAUGUUCAUUAUUUUCCAGUCAUACUGGAUUUGCUUCCCUUUGACCCAAGAGAUCAAUAUAGGUUCUGCAACAGCGUGUUUGGAAGGGGGUCGGUAGGCAUUCACAUAAAACACCAUUACCAACAUCCUUAGCCACUGGCUGUAUUUGACUGUUCAGAUAAGUCUGUUUAUGGUACUUUAGUACAACAUGAAUGUAAGGGUGUUGGUUGGGGUCAAGGUGAAAUGUUUUUUCCUCAAUUAUUUUUCUGUCCAACAAGGAAUAAUAUCGUUCUUCAAGUUCAGCAAAGAAGAACCUGUUUGAAUCAUGAGCAGGAGAAGAAGAAGUAGCCAUUUGUUAUAGAUCUGGCCUGUUAUAGAUGAAAUCUAAGGAAAAACAAGAAAACUCAGAGAAACAGUGUUAGAGAAAAAAGGAACGCGCAUGGAAAAUGUCAAAAAACUGUCAAAAAAAUUAUAUAUAAUGCCUUGUACAAGCCAUACAUGUAUCUUACGCGCAUUACCAAGGAUAUACGCGUAUGAGAUAUCCCAUACGCGUAUGGGCAGAGGGAAGAAGCAGUUGAAAUUGUAGAUCACGUUUGAUACACGUAUGCUUCCAGGUGGCCAUUGCAUACGCGUAUCACCCGGCCAUACGCGUAUGACCCAAUUUUUUAAAAAUGGCCUGAUAAUUGAUGUUCCCUAUACACGUAUGGUGCCUUCCAUACGCAUAUGGGAAGAGGCCCUGGUUUUUGUGAAAAUUUUGCAUACACCAUUUGUGUAUGGACUAACCCAUACGCGUAUGGACAUAAUGCUUGCAAAUAGAGGAAAAAUAGGGCACCCCAUACGCGUAUGAACUAGGCCAUACGCGUAUGGGCAGAAGGAUGGACAAAAAUUGAAAUUUGUUUCUGUCUCUCAUUUUUUCAUGUUUUUGUUGUGCAAUUUUGUCUGUUUGGCUCUACAACACGUGACUUUUGACAAAAAAGUAAACAUAUUGGAAUGUAAAAUACACAACUGGAAUUUAACUAUUAUUACCUCCCUUGGGUUGCCUCCCAAGAAGUGCUUCUUUCACGUCCAUAGCUUGACAUAUGACUAUUCUAUGGUUUGUUGAGCCGGGCCUCUUCCACCAGGCCAGUUUUCUGUCCUUCGUAGUAAGGUUUAAACAUUUGACCAUUUACCUUGAAAGUGUCCCCAAUGGUAUUGUUCUUCAACUCAACUUCCCCAUGCAGGAAUACUCUGUGUAUCGUGAACAGACCAAACCAUCUAGACUUCAAUUUUAAAUGAAAUAGCUUCAACCUGGAAUUAAACAAGAGAACCAGUUGGCCUUCCCAAAAUUCCCUUUUUUGAAUCCUUCGAUUAUGCCAUUUUAUUUGUUUGGUCUUUAUACAUUUUGGCAUUCUCGUAAGCGCGAUUCCUAAACUCUUAUAACUCAAGGAGAUGAAGAAUUCGGGAAUCCCCCGCUUUAGAUAUAUCAUAAUUGAAGAAUUUGGUGGCCUACAACACCCUGUGUUUCAAAUCUAGAGGUAAAUGAUAAGCUUUUCGUAAACUAGUUUAUAAGGGGACAUACUUAUAGGUGUUUUGUAUGUUGUUUGGUACACCCAUAAUGCAUCAUCCAACUUUGUUUCUUAUUCUUUACCGGAAGCAUUCAAAUUCUUCUCUAGAAUUUGCUUGAUUUGUUUAUUCAAGACUUCCACCUACCCACUUGUUUCAGGAUGGUAGGGGGUAGCAAUUUUGUGCUUCACAUUAUAUUUUUUAAGCACGUUUUCCAUGAGGCUCUUUAGAAAAUAUGUACCUUCAUCAUUUAUCAGUGCUUUUGGAACCCCAAAAUUUUAUGAAGAUAUUCGUUAUCAGGAAUUUCACUACAAAUUUAGCAUCAUUUGUGGGAAAUGCCACAACUUCUACCCACCUAGACACAUAAUCAACUGCCACAAGAAUAUAAUUAUGACCAAAAGAAGGUGAAAAUGGUCCCAUAAAAUUUAUUCCCCAUACAUAAAACAGUUCCACCUCCAAAAUAGAAUUAUGGGGCAUUUGAUUCCUCUUUGAAAUGUUACAUGUUUGUUGGAAACUAUCCCAUUCUUGUACAAUGAAUUGAGCAUCUUUGGACAAAGUAGGCCAAUAUAACCCAAAUUGGAGGACUUUUUUUGUUGUCCUAUCAACACUAAAGUGUCCUCCAUAUUUUGAAUUAUGACAAUCCUUGAGGAUUUCCCUUUGCUAUCCUUUGGGGACAUAUCUUCGGACCAACCCGCCUAUCCCCUUUUUAUAAAGGAAUGGAUCGUCCCAUAGGUAGAACUUGCAAUCCUGUACAAACUUUUUCCUUUUGUUAGAAUCAAAAUCAUCAGGUAUAACUCCACCUACCAAGUAGUUCGCAAAGUCUGUAAACCAUGGAACACCCGUUAUGGCCAAGAUGCGCUCAUCAAAAAAGGCAUCCUUAAUAGGGCGUGUCUCUUCUAUUUCCUCAAUCAUGGACAUGCAGGACAAGUGAUCCGCCACAGUAUUCUCACACCCCUAUUUAUCCCGAACUUCAAGAUCAAACUCUUGAAUAAAUAGUAUCCAUCUUAAGAGUCUUGGCUUUGAUUCCUGCUUAGUAAAAAAUAUUUUAAAGCAACGUGGUUAGUAUAGACGAUGACUUUUGACCCUAAUAAAUAAGACCUGAAUUUGUCAAAAGAAUAAACAACGGCUAAAAACUCCUUUUUGGUAGUGGAAUAAUUCAUCUGUGCAGUAUUAAGAACAUGACUAGCAUAAUAUAUCACAUGUAACAAUAGGUUUCUUACUUGUCUUAACACAGACCCCACUGUAGUGUCACUAGCAUCACACAUGAUCUUAAAAGGUAGAGACCAAACAGGGGAAACUACUAUUAGUGACGAAACUAAAUUGCUCUUCAAAGUUUCAAAUGCCACCUUACACUNAGGACAAGUGAUCCGCCACAAUGUUCUCACACCCCUAUUUAUCCCGAACUUCAAGAUCAAACUCUUGAAUAAAUAGUAUCCAUCUUAAGAGUCUUGGCUUCGAUUCCUGCUUAGUAAAAAAUAUUUUAAAGCAACGUGGUUAGUAUAGACGAUGACUUUUGACCCUAAUAAAUAAGACCUGAAUUUGUCAAAAGAAUAAACAACGGCUAACAACUCCUUUUUGGUAGUGGAAUAAUUCAUCUGUGCAGUAUUAAGAACAUGACUAGCAUAAUAUAUCACAUGUAACAAUAGGUUUCUUACUUGUCUUAACACAGACCCCACUGUAGUGUCACUAGCAUCACACAUGAUCUUAAAAGGUAGAGACCAAACAUGGGCAACUACUAUUAGUGACGAAACUAAAUUGCUCUUCAAAGUUUCAAAUGCCACCUUACACUCUUUAUCAAAAGUAAAAAGGUUGUCUUUUACAAGCAAAUUAGUCAGUGGCUUUGCAUUUUUUGAGAAAAUGCCACCUUACACUCUUUAUCAAAAGUAAAAAGGUUGUCUUUUACAAGCAAAUUAGUCAGUGGCUUUGCAUUUUUUGAGAAAUCUCUUAUAAACCAGUGAGAAGAACCUGCAUUUCCCAAGAAACUCCUUAUCCCCUUUUCAUUCACAUGGGAAAGGAGGUUUGCAAUAACCUCAAUUUUGUCCUUGUCAACUUCUAUUCCUUGGUGUGAAAUUUUAUGACCCAACACUAUACCUUCUUGUACCAGAAAAUGAUAUUUUUCCUAAUUCAUGAUCAAGUUAGCUUGUUGGCACCUUGCAAAAACAAGAGACAAGUUAGUCAAACAGUUAUCAAUAGAAGAACCAAAAAUAGAAAAAUCUCCCAUAAACACUUCCAUGUGCUUUUCAAGCAUGUUAGCGAAUAAACAGAUAUCAAUAGAAGACCAAAUAUAGAAAAAUCAUCCAUAAACACUUGCAUUGGUUUUCAAUCAUAUGAACAAAGUUGUGAAUAUGUGAGGCCACUUUGACUUUUAUUUUAAUGAAUAUUAUCCAUGUGAAUCUAAUAAAGUCAUCAAGUAUAAAUAAGAAGUACUUGUGACCAUGAACAAAUGGAGUUGCAAUUGACCCUCAAAUGUCAAAUAUUAGUAAUUCAAAUUCGGUAGGGGCAUGAGAUGAGCUAACACAAUAUCAUCAUUUGAUAAAGUGACAAACACCACCCACACAUUUAUCAUCAUUGUUGAUGGAAAUGUAUUUUUUUGUCAUAUCAUAUCAUCUAUGAUUUGAUAGGUUCCAUAAUUUGAAAUGCCAAAUGGAAUUGUAAAGAAUUGGUCAAUGAACCAACAAUUAAAAAAUUUGGUGUUGCUUGCUGAAAAAGAAAUAAUAGUUUUGAGAAAAUCAAAGUUACCUAAGUUUGAUUUUUUUGGUGGAUGGCCAAAAUAAAUCUUUUUUAUUUGGUUCAUUUUUCUUAUAAUAGAAAACUUACAAGUUGAUCAUACUUAUCUUGAGAUAAAACAUGUGCAUGAUCCUUUAAUUGUGAUGAUUCAUUUGUUCUAGUUAAAUGAUGAGCAUUAAGGAUUGAGUUAUUAUGAGCAUUAGCAAGUGCAAAUGAAUUAUUUACAUGGGAGUGACCAUGUUUUUAUAACUUAAAUAAAUGGUAUGGUUGUGCUUAUUACAAUGUGUGCGGUACCUUGGAUUAGUCUAUCCAAAUUAAGUAUAAUCCUUAAAUUUGAAUCAAAAACAAUAAUGAAGCCAGACGAAAAUUACUUUUGUGUCCGCCCUAUUGCCUUGGGUAUGCAUAUGCUAGGGGGUGGGGUGCUGUGAGAGUGGGCCAUGGGAGAUAUCUUGCAAUCAAUGAGGACAUUUCAGAACAUUCCAGCAACGCCUUGCAAUGCAGCCUCAGAAACUAACAGCAAAGACAGAUAGUAUAUGUUGGAGGGAGUUUGAAUUUAGAUCGAAAAUCUUGACAAUUCGCCGACUGUCUCUUUCUUGAAAAGAUGCACUCUUAUAUCGAAGUAGAGGACUCCUGCCAUAGGACGAUAAGCAUUCUCCUUCAAAUAAUCAUUCCAUGUUCUUUUUCUUCGCGCAGAAUCUGCAUAAACUUGUUCUUUCUCAUCCCAUCAAGACCUUUAACCCUUAGACCGUUUCCAGAAUUCUGCAGCUUUAUUAUCAAAUAAACUUCGUAGGCAUAGAGUAGUUCAUGCAUGCUUCGGAGUGGCAGGUACAGUUAGGCUGCCUGCGGAGUCUGAGUAGGAAUGACCUGCUCCUUAGCCAAUAACUGUGGUGCUGAAGAACACCUAUGGAGUGUACUGUUUUGGUUCGUAACUACUCCCGGCAGUCUCAAUUCUCGAUUCGCUCCCCCUCUGCUGAUCUCCGCUCUUUCCUCUCUGUCCAAUUGGGACCCCUGUGCAAAUUGAUUCAGUAUCAACUCACGACUUUCUGCGUCAGAAAUCGGAUUUCUUUUUCAACGUCAGCAAAUAAUAACAAUAUAUUGCUCGAGAAGAAGUCUUCUAAUAAUACCAUCGAAAGCGACAAAGCAAAAUCCAAAAGUUUCUUGUAAAGAUCUUACAGAAAUCAGACCCUUAACAUUGGAUUAGUUUCCCGAAAUCUUGCAACUAUAUAGGAGUAAAUCCAUACGUAGAGCUAUCUACGCUAUGGAAUCGCAAAUGCCUGAACCCCUCUCGAAGAAGAUAGAAUAUUAAUGAGCUCUGUCGUGUUAUUUAUCUACAACAGAAUUUGAUCUAAUAGGUAAUCACUCCUAAACACCGCAACAUGAUUAUUGUUAUUUUCCUCAAGAAACUUUUCUUACAUCAAAAACAUCAUUGUCUACCAAAUAGAUUGCGACUUGCAAAAUUAGAAACUGUGCGUAGACAAAUAUCAGCGAUCAUCUUUACAGCCUUGAUUUCCAAUGUGCAUGUUCUCUUUGAAUAUUUACAUCUUCCUUACCUUUCAACUUGUUCGCAGUUAUUUGUGCUGGCCUAGUACAAAACUUCUCACCAUAACAGCGCAAUCCGCAUCAGAUAGUACCGAAUUUGUCUAUCGAACCACCCCAAAACCAUGGCUCCGAACCUUACUUUGUAAACAAAACCAUCGAAUUUGUGCUCACGUCAUGUCACCUCUUCAGAUUCCCUACUAUGAGUUCCUUGGUACUUCAACACUUAUUCCUUUCCUUUCGUCUGGUUCAAGCUAGUGUUUAAAUGUUGAAACUCCGUUCCGAGUGGUUUAGAACACGGAGAUUAGGCUCUAAACAUUUUCACACGUCAGAAGAUGCUUUAUCCUCCGAGAGAGUAAUAGGAUUCUUGAUCAAUUUCACUCUUGAAUCCUCUUUUUGAGAUCCCAUCACAACAGGCCCAGCUACAUUUGAAAAUGGAUCGUUGUUAUUACAUAUACCCCCAAAUAUGGAUCAACAUGCGACCAUGACACAGUCCAUUUUAGGAUUUGGUAGGUCCUUGCUGAUUAGAGGAGGUGUGUAAAAGUGAGAGGAGCUGCUGGGAAGGGUCUCUUACACGUGUGGUGGAGGCAAAAUAAUAUAAUAGAUUGCGACUUCUAAAACGUUGAGGUAACAAUAAUUGGCAAUCGCGUAUGCGAGUACUUUGAGUCAUACGGUACCUUUCAUCAUUCUUUUCACUAUAAUCGCUCCAAAAUUCAUUGUUCAAAUUCCUUUACAAUACUGCUGUGUAACCUCUUAUCAAAGAGUCUCCGAGAUGAGCCUGAAGUACUUUAUCUCUCAAUUUGGAGGCUCUUUAUUUUCGUUCAAAACCUUUGAGCUUUCUUUAGAUAGUGUUGAGUCCUGCUGCGCUCUGUGUGUAUAUCUCAGAUUUAUCUUUUCUGUGGGUUUUUUUGUUUUUCAUUAAAAUCUUAUUGAUUCUUUUUUCUACUUGUUUCCUCUUUUUUUCUUCUUCAGGUGCAAUCACUUUUUUUUGUUUACUAUAUGGCAACUACCAAACCUUAAAAGAGGUUACUAUUAACAUCCAAAAUAACCCUUCAAACUCUAAAUGAAACAUAGAUUCCACAAAAUAAAAGAUACCUAAUAUGAACCGGGUAGGGGAAAGUGGGGUUUUAGGGAUUAUUGGUUCAGAUAUGUAAUUAGUAACAAAUUAAAGGGGAUUAACGCUCAACAUGGUUUACAAAGGAUAUACUAAAUUAGAACGAGAUUGGCUAGAAAGGCUUCAAGGGUGUAAACCAUGUGGCCCUUAAGUGGUGGGUGUAAUAUGCAACAGGACCUAUCCACAAAAAGAGGCAGACAAGGUCUAGAUUGAAAUAUUAAUACUGAAAAUGGUCCCCCAUAGGAAUGAAAAUUUGUUGGUUUGGCCUUUUUUUCUGUUCUCCACCAUGGUUGAUUAAGGGCCACAAUUCCAAAAGUGCCUCCGCAUGUGAAUGCAACCUUUUCAUUAUUUCCAACUGUGACUUACACCCUUUCAUAAAAAUGUCCCCAGAGAACAGUCAAAUCGCGUUCAAAAAAUAUUGUCCACGCUUUUGGUAAUAGCAUCGAAUUGGGCAGACAACUUGUCUGGUUUGUUUCCACAGUCUACCGCUCCCAUUCGAGUUAUCAUCACUUAAAUAACAUUAAACCCAUAAAAUGAAUAAACUUGAAAAUACCAAGAAUUCUAAUAGAACCCUCCCUGAGUUUUGUGGCAACACAUAGAAAAAACCAAAAAUGAAAGAUACAUCUAGCUUCCAUCAAAUUCAAUAAAGUUAAAAAAACUAAAAUCAAAGAUAAAAGAUAAGUAAAAAUAAAAAGCUAUCUCGUAUGGUCCUAAUAGUUUUUAUCCAUGGAAGUGUAGCGCUGAUCAAUGGGCAUAUUGGGUCCGCCAUGAGCACAAAGGAUUGAAAUUGGAGGAAAUGAUACAAAGGUGAUGGAGGUCGCACUAAAAAACGUCUCUCGCAGCCCUGGGCCACUCCUUCCUCGUUCCACUUGCAAUGGUGAGGUAUCGACAGCCAAGCCCAAUAUGUUGAUAAAAAAUCUUGCGUAAAAAUAAACAUGGACCAUUCCGUUAAGUUGUUCUUGAGAGUCCAUACAUAAGCAAGUAUGAACUCUCUCAAGUACAUACUAUGGGUGCCGGGCUGUCGAUAAUGUUCUGGAUCUAGUAGGCUUGCUGGAAUUGUUCCUUCCAGUUAGGUGUUUUCCUCCUAGGGUGCUCGGUUAAUCGACCCACCAUCCAAUGGUCGUGUCGGGUUCAACCAUGAAGCAUCCAGUGAAAUUUCGGUACCCUGACUUUCCCUAAAGAGGAUGACAAAAGCAUAAUUCCCAGAAAGCUUGUUGACUUGACCUUUGGGCAUCUCUCCAUGUCCAGUACAAAUACGACCGACGUUAACAACGUCGUUUCAACGAGAUCAAUAUAAGCAAAGCUCACUGUGAUGAGUUAUGACCACUCCGACUUAGUGUCCAGAGUGUUGUGCAAAGAAGUAGGCCCAUGCCUUCAAUAACAACAUGAGAUCCCUACGCCACUCCUGAAUCGGGGUAGAAGCAGGCUUCUGAUAUCUUUCCCUCAAGUUGCCAAUCCAACCCAACCACCACUGGGCAAGGCUAUCCAGUCCACAGGACGUCUUUCAUUCUGAUAUCUCCAAUAGUUCGACUCUCGAAACUUCAUCUUUAAUAACAUGUUCAAUUUAUUUUCCAGUCAUACUGGCAUUUGCUUCCUGUAGCACCUCAAUUUGCACCUAUCAUAUAACAUACCAUUUCAUAUUAGGUCACUAUCAUGAAUGCAUUGCAUAGCAAUUGGCAUUGCGGAUCACCAGUUUUGCCCUCAAAGAGCCAAGGCAAGCAAGAAAUUAGGUUCAAACUGAUCAGGAAGAUGAGACCAACCUAAAUCAAGCAAAGGUUUGUUUCUCAAAGGAUCACAAGGUCCCUAGGGUUUAGUCCCAACAAGUUCAACAUGACUUGGAGGCUUUUUUUUGAAGUGCACAAACCAGGUCAAAACCCCUAGAACCAGUCACAAUCAGUCAAGCAGUGGAAUGGUGGCCAAUUCUGUGGAAUUUUGGGCACAAUGAUCAAUCAUCAAGAGUUCAUUGUCUUGGGGACAUCAAAUUUUGAGUCCAAGAUAUCUAGGAACUAGGGUUUGGAUUUCAUCAGAAAGUGCACAGUACAAAUUCCAAACCUAGAAAGUCAACAGUUUGGUAAUUGUGUUGAUAUGAUAUUGAUUGGAUUUAAAUUUGUUUGAAGGAGUUAAUUCCAUGCUUGUAUAAGCGUACAUCUAUCAAUUCCCCAACUCAUAAAUGGAAGAAAAUCAGCAAUCAGACAUCUUAUCCAAAAUAGAACUGGACCUGUAUAAUUCCACAACUGCCAAAAAUUAGAAACUUCCUUUGAUCCCUCAAACUUACAUUCAUGAUACAAGCUUCAAAUGAAAUUUUUUGACCACAACAUGAAAGUUGAAGAUCUUGUUCCUUACCCAUUUCCAAAAAAGUCCAAGAACUUCAAAUCCCAUGGUGGGUGGUUGUCAAAGAUAUGUCAAUCAUUUCACACAAUUUUUGAAACUUCAAACAAGCCAUAAUUUCAAAACCAUAAGGCACAAUUAUGGUGGGGUUUUUCCUACAAACCACAUUUUCAUCCUCUUUCCAAAAAUAUAAUUUAAUGACCUAAAAACAUUACAUUCAAAAUGGCAUUUUUGGACCUUUUCAAUUUAAAUCAAGUUUGACUCACAUUGACUUUUUGAUUUAUGGACUUUUUCAAUUUUUGCAUUUGGAAAAAUGGUUCUAAUCACAUGUUGUGAACUUGUCUCCAGCUUUAAAAAGCAAUGCAUUUCAUAUUUCCAACUACCAAUUUUUGGACAAAUUCAAAUUGGCAAAUGGAGUCAAAUAGAAAAAGUACAUACAACAACACACUAGCCAAUUUUUUCUGUUACAAGCACAAGCAGCUAUUGGAAAUGGUCCUCCUGCCGCCNNNNNNNNNNNNNNNNNNNNNNNNNUUUUUCAGAAUAUUUGAACUCAUCAAGAAAUGUAUUGGAACAAAUGUCGUUUCCUCUUGAUAAAGAUAAUGUUGUAACAAUAUAUGAGAGGAAUUCAGUUGAAUGACACAUGUGUUUUUACCAAUAAACAUCAUCAAACCCGGUGAGGAUGAAUAGCGAUCUUCAUAAAUAGUGAACUACCGAUAAUUCUAUCAUCCUAUAUAUAAAUCUCACUGCCAUUAUCAUGUAUUGCCUCGUAUUUUGUCCCCGUGAAUUCCAAUUCCAUCAUAAAGAGUUUUAUCCCUCUAUGAAUAUCCCAAGAGACUUAGAACCUUAGCCUUAGGGAAACCCCCAAGAUAGAUCCUUAUAUGAAACACAACUUAUAAAUUUUCCAAAAUCUUUCCUUCAAUCUUAUAAACCUCCAUGAUUUCCAUGAAAGUUAAUAGUUGAGCCAAUGAAUCCAGAAUUGAUAAUGAUAGAAUGUAAUAGAUAUUUUAUUUAGAUUUCUAAGAUAUCUUAUUGGGAUAAUGUGUGCUAAUUAUCCUUGUUAAUUGAAGAACCGUAAUUGAAAUUCUUUUGGUGUUAAUGGUGUGAUCUCUCCAUUUUAAAUGAUAAAAAAAUUUUACUUGAAGCUAUUGUACUAGGGUUAAUGGAAAUUAAAUUAGUUCAUAUAUUUUUUAAUGAGGUUUAAUUAUAAAUAAAUAUAGCAUAUAUAAUAAAGUAUUUAGUGAAGAUUAAAAAAGUUAAUAAUGAUAUCAAAUGAUAACAUUAUAAAUAUUUUUUAUUUCUCAUCUAAGUGAUAAUGAGUCAUGUGUUAUAACCUAUGAAAAAUUAUAACACUGUUGAUAAAAGAUAGAUAGUACUAAAAUUAGUUCUAUCAGAAAUUUAUUAAUUACACCUUAAUAUAAAAUUAUUUAAUGACCGUAUUCUGUCAUGGUGUAUUAAAUUCAUUAAUUCCAUAUUAAAAUAUAGAUCCAUGUUGUUUAUAUACGUAUCUCUAAUUUUAAGCAGAAAAAAUGCAUAUUAUAUAUAAGUUUAUUGUUUAUAAUUUCAAAAUCCCAAGAACUUUACUGGCCAUACCAGAUACUUAUAGUUGUAACCUAAUUUUAUUAAAACAUGUGCAUCACAAUCCAAUCUCAAACUUAUUGAAUGAGAGAUGGAGCAGCACAAAAUAUUUAAAUAAGAUGUACAAGGUAUGAUUUAUUUCCAGCCCAUAAUCGUGCAGUCAAACACACCCUCCAUUCCACUUACAUGUCAAUUAGCAAAUUUGCAAAAUGCAUCAUUAAGCAUAAACCAGCUUACCAAUUAAUUAAAGGACCUUAAACAGAGGUUAUAAAGCUUCAUUUCUGCACAAAUGAGCCCUAGUUUUUGGCAGCCACCACACAGAAAUACACUCUCACUCUCAUAUUGCAUUUUGGCAAAAACGAAAAUUCUGCAAAACCCUUGAAAACCAUCGAGCCAGCCUUUGUUCCUCCAUCAUCCAAACAUCAUUUAGAGCACUUUUGAACCCCCAUUCAUCACCUGUACAGCUCCUACUUAUUCUGUUUUCCUCAAAGCUUCAACAAUGGUGAAAGGAGAUUUCAAGAACUCCAAGCUUCGCUGAGCUAAAGGGCCUCAAGGAUUCAUCAUUCUAACACAUUCUCUUCAUCUGUUUGCAUUCAUAAUCACCAAAACAACACUACAGCUCGAUUUUCUUCCAAAACAAGUAAGUAAUCGACCUUCUCUUUCUGCCAUGCCAUACUAUGUUUGUGAGAGAUCCUUGAAUACUGAUUCUAGAAUGCUAUGCCUUGUUUGAAAUGGUGCUCUCAUGAUGAAGAAAUCUUGAUUUUCAUUUUUGUGAGCAAUUGCAUUUUUCUUCGAUUUGGUUUGAACAUCACGAUUUAUUGAAAAGUGAUGAUAUAUUUGUGGUAUUGAAUGCUUGAUGAUGCUAUUGGCAUGCUUGGUUUCAUUUUCUGGACAUUUCGAAAAUUCCAUGAUUGAACAUUGAUGAAUGAAUACUGCUGCUGUCCAAACUUAUGCUACGCCCAGAUUUCCACUUGUUGUGUUUGGUUUGUUGUCAUUUUGAUGUUGCAUAGGGAUGUUCCAUUGGCCGUGCUUUUGAUUGUGUCUGUUUGAAGUUGUCUGUGUGAUGAUGGACACUGUUAUAUUCGAACCCUAGCAUUGAUUCCCAGAGAAUGCUUUUGUUUGAUUUUGUUUUUUGCUGUAUGAACAUCACUACCAUACUGUUGCCAUGCUACUGGGAUUUGAAUUGUUGAUGCUUGCAUGAGAACAAGUUGAUGUUUUUGCCUUGCUUCCUAAAACCCUGCUGUGUUUUAAACCUUAAACUUGCCAAAAUUUUGCAUGAAUGUGUGUUGGUUUAUUGCUAUCUAGGCAUGCAUGAACAUGGUUGUAUCACUCCCCUGCUGUUAUCCAUGUUUAAAUUUCUGUACGAUGAUGAACAUUGAUGUUGAAUACCAUGCUGUUGCUUGCUUUUGUUGAUGAUUGACUGAUGAAUGUUGGUGAUGAACAUAUGCACUGUUGUAUUGAACUCUACUCUGCCCAAAAACCCUCAUGAUUAUGUUUGCUCUGUUGUUCUCAAUGUUGUAUGAGGAUAGUGUCAUGGCCCUGUUAGAUUAUUGAUGAUGUUUAUUUUCGGUUGUUCAUGAUUGGUGAUGGAACACGAUGAUGCUAUUGCCCUGCUGCUGUUACAAUGAAACCCUAAUGCUGCAUGAGAUUCCCAGAAUUUGAAUUACAAUUGGCUGUUGUUGUUUGUUGUUCAUGCUUUUAAAACUUGUCCAGAAUUUAUGAACAUGCUGGUUUAUGUUCGUUUAGAUGCUGUAUGAACCUAUUGUUUGCCAUGCCUUUUACCUCAUGAUUGAUUGGAUUCCAUGUUUAUGAUGUUGGAUGAUAAAUCGUGUUGCUGCAUAAAGCCAAAAUGCUGCAUGAUGUUGAUGCAUGAACUGCUGUACCAAUGCCAUGAUAUUAUGCGUUUUUGCUCAAAUUUUGUGUUAUGAGGUUGAUGACAUGAUGCUGCUAAGCCAUGCUGUUUAUGUGCUUUUGUUUGAAAACCUAGCUCUGUCCAGAUUUCCAUGAUUUAUGUUUUGUAUUUAUUGGUUGAGAUUGCAUGUUGGAUUUCUUGCUAUGCUGUUGUGUGGUUUGGUUGAAUCAUGUUGUGUUUGAUGUGGUUGAACAUGAGCAAUCACCCUGCUGUUCAAACCUGACCAUUGCCAUGAAAACAUAUGAUUUGUGUUGAAUGUUGUUGUUUGUUUGCUGUAAUAACAUUACCAAUACCCUGCUGUUGUAUGCUUGGUCGGAUUAUGUUGCCUGAUGUUGCUGAUGCUUGCUUGAAAACACCACGAACCAUGCCUAGAAAAUCUAUGUAAAUGAUGAAUGUUGCUGUUGUUUAAUUUAGCUCUGCCCAGGAAUCUCCUUUGCUUGUGCUUGGUCUGUUGUUAAUGCUGUAUGAUGAUGAUGUUGCAUAAACAAACUUGUACCAAUGCUUUGUUUGUUUGCCAUGCUGUUCAAGUUCCAAUUGGUGAUGACUGUUUGAUUGCAUGAUGAACAUGUUGUUUUGCUGUUGUUUGAACAUAACCUGCCCAGAAUGCACAUGAGCUCGUGUUUCAUUUGUUUGUUGCAUGAUGCAUUUCAAUAUCAUGCUGCUGUGAUGGUUUGGUCGAAUUUUGUUUGGCUGAUGUGAUUACACGAGUUGCCCUGUUUCUAAAACCUUGGAUGUACGAAAAUUCCCAGAAUAUGAAUUUGGAUUGGCUGUUGUUGGCUUUUCACUUGCGCGCACUGUUCCAUUGGCUGAGAGCCAAUGAGAACAUUUCGUUCUCUUCCCUUAAACGAUGCCGUUUCAAUUAGUGGCAGGCAGAAUUACAAGUGUGCCAUCCUGUUGACCUCUGUUGACCAUUUGCCAUAUUGAUUUGUUCAUGUUUUGCUCAAAUAUUCAAUCAUCUUCAAUAAUUCAUAUUUCAUUCAAAUUAAAUCCAAAAAUCUUGAAAUUUUUUCCACAUUGUUCAUGAUUGAGUCUAGUUUUUAAUUGUGAUUUUUAAUGAAUUUUUCAUUGGUUGGAUUUUUUUAUGGUAAUUAUUUUCCCAACAUGUGCGCAUAAAUGAUACAUCCUACCAUUUCAAUUGUGAAAUACUCUUGACAUAUCCAUUGCCUCUGAAAUUUUUUGGGAUGAAACUAGACAUGUUCACCUUCAUUUUGGUAUAAAGUUUGUGGAUUUCCCAUUUGUAGUUUGCUGGUUAUGAUUUUUUUGAAGUCAUGUGUUACAUUUGUUGCUACACCAUGAUCAUGCAUUUUCCCUAAUUUUGUUCACAUGCUUCCCUACAUCCAAUUGACCCCAUUUUUUGCAUGAAUCAUCUAUCACAUGUCUAGUUUGUGUAUGAAUUUUCUUGGAAUUAACCAUGCUGUUUUCCAUUUAAUUGUGAAUUUUCUUCCAUACUUGGUCAUUUGUUGACUUUUUGUGCUAUGCCUUGCCAAAUCCUUUGUGAAAUCCUCAUACCAUAUUGUAUGUCCAUGAAAUUUCAUAUGUGAUAACUAGACAUCUCAAGCUUUGCAAAUGGUGUAAAUCUCAUUCAUUUCUCAUCUGUUUUCAAUCUGAUAUGUUUUUUUGAAGUUGACCCAUGCUUGUUGACUUUCAUUAUGCUUACUUGAAUUUGGUUUGACUUCAUGAUUUUAUUUGACUGCCUUCCUCUCAUCCAAAUGCCAUGAAAUUUUACAUGUCUACCAUGUUAGAUGUUAGGAUUGAGUGUGAUUUAUUUCAUGAUUUUUGAGAUUGCUUAGGUUGACUUUUGAUGCAAGUNUAUUACAUCAAUAACCUCAAACUUAAAAUGAAACAUAGAUUCAAAAAUAAAAGAUAAUAAUAUGAACAGGGUAGGGAAGUGUUUUAGGAUAUUGGUUCAUGAUAUGGUAAUU